CGGGGUGUAGCGCAGUUGGUAGCGCGCUUGCUUUGGGAGCAAGAUGCCGGGUGUUCGAGUCACCUCACUCCGACCA
rnacentral:tRNA from 2 species